rnacentral:rRNA from 1 species
UACGUAGGGCGCAAGCGUUAUCCGGAAUUAUUGGGCGUAAAGAGCUCGUAGGCGGUUUGUCGCGUCUGCCGUGAAAGUCCGGGGCUCAACUCCGGAUCUGCGGUGGGUACGGGCAGACUAGAGUGAUGUAGGGGAGACUGGAAUUCCUGGUGUAGCGGUGAAAUGCGCAGAUAUCAGGAGGAACACCAGUGGCGAAGGCGCCGCUCUGGGCCGAGACUGACGCUGAGGAGCGAAAGCGUGGGUAGCAAACAGG